rnacentral:rRNA from 1 species
GGACUACAAGGGUAUCUAAUCCUGUUUGAUCCCCACGCUUUCGUGCCUCAGCGUCAAUAUUUGUGUAGCGAGCUGCCUUCGCAAUCGGUGUUCUAUGUCAUAUCUAAGCAUUUCACCGCUACAUGACAUAUUCCGCUCACCUCCACAAUAUUCAAGAAACAUAGUAUCAAUGGCAGUUUCGGAGUUAAGCUCCGAGAUUUCACCACUGACUUACAUUCCCGCCUACGCACCCUUUAAACCCAGUGAAUCCGGAUAACGCUUGCACCCUCCGUAUUACCGCGGCUGCUGGCAC